AGGGAUGUGAUGGGCUUGCACCUGUGCAUCUCCUCCAGAGAGCUGUCCCAACUCUGCAAAAUUUUAAUAACAAAAGCCAGUGUGAUGUCCUCUAUGCUUUAGAUCAGCAGGGGCCAAUAUUUUUGGUAGGAAUGCCAUAAAUUAGCCCUGCACCCUCCCUAAGUGCCACUUGGAUACCUCCCUCUGUUCUAUCUGCCUCUCUGCUGUCUGCCCCCUGCCCUAUCUGUUGUUGUACUGCCUGUCCCACAGGAGCUAUCUCUACCACUAGUUGGCCACCUCUGCUUUAGAUAGUUUCUCUAGGUUUACAGUCCGUGCUACGGCACAUUUACUAGCACACUGAGAUAUGGGUAUAAAUAAUUAAACCUACAUAAAAACUGAGAUGGUAUAUAAACAAAGAACUCCUUGCUUUUCUCUUACACUUACAGAAAUCAUGAUGAGAAUGCUGUACAGCAAUGUUCUGCCUAUCCAGUGCAAUGUUUUCUUUACAAAAUCCUGCAUGCAGCAACUUUUGUAGCCAGAUUUGCAGACCCCCCUCCUCAAGCCCGCUGCAACCCAUUCGCCUCCUGGAGGGAGCUCAUCAGAUUUUGUUCAGGACUGCUUUGUCCUCCCUUGCCAUAUUUCUCCUCUGUCUUCUCAAAGGACAGGGAGAAGGUGAGAGAGAAUGAGGAGCCAGUCUCAAGGCAGCCCAAGGUAACUCAGAGGGAUGGAAGACCACGAGUGUCGAUGAAGCCAGGGCCCCUCCCUUGCCCAACCUUUGUAACCCUUUCUUUGGCGCCUGUAAUCUCCUGUCCUUCUGGAAAACAGGUAAGCUAAAACUGUUAACUGUGGAAUGCAAGGGCACCGCUCGGAGAGAGAAGGGAGGAGGGAAAGGGGA
rnacentral:lncRNA from 1 species